rnacentral:rRNA from 1 species
UACGUAGGGGCCUAGCGUUGUCCGGAUUUAUUGGGCGUAAAGAGCUCGUAGGCGGUUCGGCAAGUCACGUGUGAAAUCUCCACGCUUAACGUGGAGGCGCCACGUGAAACUGCCGUGACUUGAGUCCGGUAGGGGGGUGUGGAAUUCCCGGUGUAGCGGUGAAAUGCGCAGAUAUCAGGAGGAACACCGAUGGCGAAGGCAGGUCUCUGGGCCAUAACUGACGCUGAGAAGCGAAAGCAUGGGGAGCGAACAGG